rnacentral:miRNA from 1 species
UCAGGUAGAAUUUAGAGGAGAAA